rnacentral:misc_RNA from 1 species
GAUCAGAAUCAGUCUCUUUUUUGUUGUUGUUUUUACCCUUCUUUUGGAAUUUCAAGAGAGAUAUUAAACGAGGGCUAAAGCCUACACAGCCGCUGAUCAAAUUUACAUGCAAAUUACAGUUACACUAACCACCCCCAACCCAACAUUACAACACUUUCCUCGCCACAUAUUAAACUAGCAACAUAAAAAUUAAAAGAAAAAUUAGGGAAAAAAGAAGAAGACAAAAGCUAAAGCUAAAACAUCAAUUAGUAGAGAGAACUAACACACCUAAAAAAUUAUAAAGAAAUAAUAACAAAAAAGAAAAACUCUUUCCCCCCUCCUCUCUCUCUCUCUCUCUCGAUAUUGCUCUACCACGAAUCAGCAAAACUAUAUCAUCCCUUCAAUGGACCAAAUUCGUAGCAAUCGUGCUACCGUAUCCUGCAAAUAAUUACCUAAUGAGAAUAGAAUUGAAAGAGAGAUGUAUGACGUAAGGACGUUUUGGUCGCUUUCUUACUCUUUUUUUUGUUCUUCGUUUUCUUCUUCACCUCUUUUGCGAGAGCCAACUGAUUUUAG